ACGAGUGGCGGACGGGUGAGUAAUGUCUGGGAAACUGCCUGAUGGAGGGGGAUAACUACUGGAAACGGUAGCUAAUACCGCAUAACGUCGCAAGACCAAAGAGGGGGACCUUCGGGCCUCUUGCCAUCGGAUGUGCCCAGAUGGGAUUAGCUAGUAGGUGGGGUAAAGGCUCACCUAGGCGACGAUCCCUAGCUGGUCUGAGAGGAUGACCAGCCACACUGGAACUGAGACACGGUCCAGACUCCUACGGGAGGCAGCAGUGGGGAAUAUUGCACAAUGGGCGCAAGCCUGAUGCAGCCAUGCCGCGUGUAUGAAGAAGGCCUUCGGGUUGUAAAGUACUUUCAGCGGGGAGGAAGGGAGUAAAGUUAAUACCUUUGCUCAUUGACGUUACCCGCAGAAGAAGCACCGGCUAACUCCGUGCCAGCAGCCGCGGUAAUACGGAGGGUGCAAGCGUUAAUCGGAAUUACUGGGCGUAAAGCGCACGCAGGCGGUUUGUUAAGUCAGAUGUGAAAUCCCCGGGCUCAACCUGGGAACUGCAUCUGAUACUGGCAAGCUUGAGUC
rnacentral:rRNA from 1 species